GAUGAAGAACGCAGCGAAAUGCGAUAAGUAAUGUGAAUUGCAGAAUUCAGUGAAUCAUCGAAUCUUUGAACGCACAUUGCGCCCGCCAGUAUUCUGGCGGGCAUGCCUGUUCGAGCGUCAUUUCAACCAUCAAGCCCCCGGCUUGUGUUGGGGACCUGCGGCUGCCGCAGGCCCUGAAAAGCAGUGGCGGGCUCGUUGUCACACCGAGCGUAGUAGCAUACAUCUCGCUCUGGGCGUGCUGCGGGUUCCGGCCGUUAAACCACCUUCAUAACCCAAGGUUGACCUCGGAUCAGGUAGGAAGACCCGCUGAACUUAAGCAUAUCAAUAAGCGGAGGA
rnacentral:misc_RNA from 1 species